rnacentral:tRNA from 1 species
CAGAAGAUAGUUUAAGUUUAGAAUUCCAGUUUUGGGGACUGGAGGUGGGAGGUAUCUUUCUUCUGA